UUUCGAGAAAAUUACAAAAAAGAAAAUGUCAUAACGAUCUAAACAAGAAGCAAUUAAUUUCAUUUUGGUAUCAACAUUUCCUUGCUAAUAAAUUGAACUAAUCAUGAUAUUAGAUUACUGGGGAAAAUAUACCGACAGGCUAUUAUCUCCAACGAGCUAACGAAAAAAUUGCCCAAUUUUUUAUUUCAAAUAUUUUUUUAUUGUUAUUAUAAAUUAAGAAAAUCAAAAGACAAAGGAAAAGAAUGAGAAAAUUGCUUUAUCACAAUAGCUCGAUAGAAAGAAAAUCUAUAUUCCAUAGAAACUAUUUCAAAAUGUUGCGAGAAAUUAUUAGGUAUUUGUCUGUUUUUUUUUCUCUUUCCUUUAUUUUUUCUUUUUUAGAUAUAUCAAAUUAUUUCACAAUUAUUUUUUAAAAUGAAAUAUUUUGUUCGAAUUAUUAGAGUGUAUAUUUUUUGAACGAUGAGAUCGAUUAAAAAGAAAAAAUUAAAUAAAUAAAUAAAUAACAAAAAAUAAAUAAAACGAAAUUUCUUCAAUGAACGACAAAAUAUAUCAAUAUAUGCUAUGCUUUCUGUAAAAUCUAACGUUCUAACGUUUCUCCCUUCCUCCGUUUGUUUUUCUUAUCCUUUUUUUCUUUUUUAAUUUUACCCUUUGUGUGUUUUAUUUACGAACAUCUCUUGUAAUGAGAAAGUAUAAUCGAACCACAAGUAUUAUUGCAUCAUGUCGAUAUGAAGUAAAUAGCAUUGCAAAUAAUGAAACAUAUAGAUAAUAUCUUGGUGACGUUCGUUGUAUGUAUCUUGAAAUUCUUAUUGCUAUUCUGUCUUCCCUAGAAAUAUCCUUGUCAGGAUAAGAGAAUAUCGAGCGUAUGAUAAGGAAAAAAAAGAGCUUAUUGAAAACAUAUUACGUGAUCCUUAUUGAUUAUCUUGUUGGUUCAAGGUUCGACGAUAAAAAGAGAAAAAUAUACAUAUAUAUAUAUAUAUAUAAAGAGAGAAAGAGAGAUGGCAACUUAGAUCGAUCAUGAUCUUUAUUAUCGAUCGAUCGAUCGAUCGAUAAGAAUCGAAAGAUUUAAGUAUAAAGAGUAGUUCUCAAAGAAAUAGCGAGUUUCUUCUAACUGAUCACCACGGAGAGAUCACUCUCAUCGGGGGACUCAUUAAACCAAUACUUUAAGUCGAUUUUUAAAACUAAUGUAUCUAUAAUAUAUAUACGUAUAAGUCGCGGAAUUAACAGAGUACGCGUCCGUCCUAAUGCACGAGGAGUCUCUUACUGAACGAAAGAGUUCGACGAGUCGACUGUUUAUAGAUCCCGAUAAGUAUCAAAGUAUAUUCGCCAGAUCACUGUGGCGAUCACAAAAAAAAAAAGAAAAAAAGAAACCAAGUGUUGUUAAAUAAAGUUUUCUUAUAUCUUCUUUUUA